rnacentral:rRNA from 1 species
UGACGCUCAGGUGCGAAAGCGUGGGGAGCAAACAGGAUUAGAUACCCUGGUAGUCCACGCUGUAAACGAUGUCGAUUUAGAGGUUGUGGUCUUGAACCGUGGCUUCUGGAGCUAACGCGUUAAAUCGACCGCCUGGGGAGUACGGCCGCAAGGUUAAAACUCAAAUGAAUUGACGGGGGCCCGCACAAGCGGUGGAGCAUGUGGUUUAAUUCGAUGCAACGCGAAGAACCUUACCUACUCUUGACAUCCAGCGAAUCCUUUAGAGAUASAGGAGUGCCUUCGGGAACGCUGAGACAGGUGCUGCAUGGCUGUCGUCAGCUCGUGUUGUGAAAUGUUGGGUUAAGUCCCGCAACGAGCGCAACCCUUAUCCUUUGUUGCCAGCACGUAAUGGUGGGAACUCAAAGGAGACUGCCGGUGAUAAACCGGAGGAAGGUGGGGAUGACGUCAAGACAUCAUGGCCCUUACGAGUAGGGCUACACACGUGCUACAAUGGCAGAUACAAAGAGAAGCGACCUCGCGAGAGCAAGCGGAACUCAUAAAGUCUGUCGUAGGCCGGAUUCGAGUCUGCAACUCGACUCCAUGAACUCGGAAUCGCUAGUAGA